rnacentral:rRNA from 1 species
UCAAGGUUUCCGUAGGUGAACUGCGGAAGGAUCAUUACCACACCUAAAAAACUUUCCACGUGAACCGUAUCAACCCCUUAAGAUUGGGAGCUUGCUCGGCGGCGUGCGUGCUGGSMWGKAAUGGGUCGGCGUGCUGCUGCUGGGCGGGCUCUAUCAUGGGCGAGCGUUUGGGCUUCGGCUCGAGCUAGUAGCUUUUUCUUUUAAACCCCUUCUUUAAUUACUGAAAUACUGUGGGGACGAAAGUCUCUGCUUUUAACUAGAUAGCAACUUUCAGCAGUGGAUGUCUAGGCUCGCACAUCGAUGAAGAACGCUGCGAACUGCGAUACGUAAUGCGAAUUGCAGGAUUCAGUGAGUCAUCGAAAUUUUGAACGCAUAUUGCACUUCCGGGUUCGUCCUGGAAGUAUGCCUGUAUCAGUGUCCGUACAUCAACCUUGGUUUUCUUCCUUCCGUGUAGUCGGUGGAGGAUAUGCCAGACGUGAAGUGUCUUGCUAGCGGUCUUUCGAGUCUGCCGGCGAGUCCUUUGAAAUGUACUGAACUGUACUCUCUCUUUGCUCGAAAAGCGUGGCGUUGCUGGUUGUGGAGGCUGCCCGUAUGGCCAGUCGGCGACCGGUUUGUUAGCUGUAGUAUAUACUGGAGGAGUGUUCGAUUCGCGGUAUGGUUGGCUUCGGCUGAACAAUCUGCUUAUUGGGUGCUUUUCCUGCUAUUGGCGGUACAAACUGGUGAACCGUAGCUGUGUGGAGCUUGGCUUUUGAAUCGGCUUUGCUUGMGAAGUAGAGUGGCGGCUUCGGCUGCCGAGGGGUCGAUCCAUUUUGGGAAAUUAUGUGUGUGCGGCUUCGUGCUGCGCGCAUCUCAAUUGGACCUGAUAUCACGCAAGAUUACCCGCUGACUUAAGCAUAUCA